UACGUAGGGUGCAAGCGUUAAUCGGAAUUACUGGGCGUAAAGCGUGCGCAGGCGGUGAUGUGAGACAGAUGUGAAAUCCCCGGGCUCAACCUGGGAACUGCAUUUGUGACUGCAUCGCUGGAGUGCGGCAGAGGGGGAUGGAAUUCCGCGUGUAGCAGUGAAAUGCGUAGAUAUGCGGAGGAACACCGAUGGCGAAGGCAAUCCCCUGGGCCUGCACUGACGCUCAUGCACGAAAGCGUGGGGAGCAAACAGG
rnacentral:rRNA from 1 species